AUUUCUUAAUUUAUAUAGUUUAAUAAAAACAUUACAUUUUCAUUGUAAAAUUAAAUCCAUAUUUUAUAAA
rnacentral:tRNA from 1 species